UAAAUUCUCCAACAACUGAUAUGGUUAAUCUUUUUUUGUGGAAGGCAGAAUGAAUUAAAAGAAAUGCCAGAGAGGGCAAAAUCAAUCUACACGUGCAGUGUACCAGAAUCACCCAGGAAAAAUGGGAGAGAGAAGAAAAAAAUAAGAACUGGAGCUAACACUGAAAUUCUGCUUGUACAGUUAUGAAAUCAAGAAAGGAGGAUUCACUAUUCUCAUUAGAUUUAGCUGCCGGACAAAUAAAAUCUUGAUUUUAAAUGAUCUCCUUCUAACAUGGGUAGCUCAACAGCUUUUCUGAAAUUCUUUUGUUGCACCCUUUUUCAAUGCACCAAACUGAGCAGUGCACUGCUGUCCGUCACACUCUGCUUUUUUGCUUCUUAGCAAACCUGAUAUUCAGUCUUAAAAGGGCUUUCCCUACUAUCCUUGGAACGUUGUUGCUUACAGGAUUCAAAAUUUGAAACUUCCUUGACCAGAACAACUUUAUGAUUUUCCCUUAGGAAGUCCAGCCCACAGGAGUUGAGAGGCUCUAGCCCUUCUUGAGGGCCUUAGAGAAGCAAGGUAUGUGGUGAAUUGAUUUUUAGUGGAAGGACAGUUCCUUAUAAGGCCACAAUCAUUGAAUGAGCUUCAGAGAAUACUUUGUGCUCUUUGAGGUUAAUUUACACUAUAUGGGUGCUUGAGAGGCUUGUAUCAAGGAUAAUCGUCAGCUUCAAAUGGCUUCCAGGAGCUGCUAAUGAAGAGGCCAGUCUUUUCAGCUUGACGGGGAGCCCUAAUGUUAGAAGAGUAUAGAGGGCAUUUUUACCAACCUAAAUUUAAGUUACGUGGUUUCUUUUGCCAUGAGAUUUAAUUCUUCUUCUUCUUUUUUCUUCAUUUUUGGGGCCUGUGGACGGGUGGGGGGUGUGGACAUUUCAUUUCAAUCCCCUUCAUUGAAGGGCUUCUCCUUGUACUCUUAUUUCAUUUCAGUUCUCUUUGUUGAAGGGCUCCUCUUUGUACUCUUGCCUUUUGUUUUAAUAAACCUUCAUUUUUUUU